rnacentral:rRNA from 1 species
CGGAGGAAGGGAAUAGGGCAACGGUAGGUCAGUAUGCCCCGAAUAUCCCGGGCUACACGCGAGCUACAAUGGUUGGUACAAUGGGUAUCUACCCCGAAAGGGGACGGGAAUCUCCUAAACCAAUCUUAGUUCGGAUUGAGGGCUGCAACUCGCCCUCAUGAAGCUGGAAUCCGUAGUAAUCGCGUUUCAACAGAACGCGGUGAAUACGUCCCUGCUCCUU